CAAUAAACUGGUACACUCCAGGUUUUGCUAUUUUCACCAGCCAAACACCUCCCUAGGGUUUAGUCAUCUUUCUUGAAUGCAAACACAGCACUAAAACCCCUUGCAAAAUCACAACCACAGGAACUCCUUCUACUUUCCCAUUGAAUCCAUAAAACUCAAACCCCAAAUCUUUAGACUCCGCCAUGGCCAGCGCCGCCGCCGCCAGAUGCGUUUUCCGAUCGAAUGCCGUUCGAAAUGUGGCGGCCAGAGUCGCCUCCGAAGCGAAAGCCGCUCGCUCCUCUCCCUUCCGCGUUUCGAGCAGAAGUCCUCUCUCUCAUCGAAUCUUCAGGUGUCCGGCUGAAAUGAGUGUUUUUGCUGGUUCAAUGCAACCAUUCCACACUGCUACUGCUUCGGCAUUGAUGACUUCAAUGCUCUCCAUCUCGCGUUGCGGUUACGGGUGGCUUCCCGAAGGCUAUGAAGCAAAAACGCUCCUAGAGAUCGCCUCAUCCGUAUCGGACACUUUGGGGACACGUAGGGAACACACCAAAUUUUGUGUCCAAUAAAUUAUGAUAUUCCUCACGGUGGGACAUGCCUGGGGCACACUUGGGACAAGGCAGAGUGAUUUUUAUAAAUUUCAAAAGUUUUUUCGAGGCAUUGACUGGACUAGAUGAAGGUGGACAAGCAAAAAUGAAAUGAUUUGUUUUAUUUUUAGUUGGAAGCUUUGUAGUAACUUGCGUGUUCAAUAGAUUAGGCGGCUGGCUAUAAUCCACUGUUAAUGACAGAGGCCAUUAGUUUGGGAGUUGUAAAUUGACAACUCCAUAACACAAUGCUUUUUAUUUAUACAUCUGGAUUUGUUUUUGGUUU